AAUGGAAUUGCUAGUUUAUAUGAUCAGUGUCUCUUUUUAAGAAACAGCCAAAUUGUUUUCCAAAGUGGCUGUACCAUUUUGCAUUCCCACCAGCAGU
rnacentral:pre_miRNA from 1 species